AGUACCUAGGAUGUUUUGGGUGCCUAACACCUUCCCAUUGCAUAACCAACCCCCUUACCCAGAUCUCUGUUUCUUUUACUAGUUUUAUUUGUAAAACUUUUAGGUUUUUGUUCGCUUUUGGAGUACCUAGGAUGUUUUGGGUGCCUAACACCUUCCCAUUGCAUAACCAACCCCCUUACCCAGAUCUCUGUUUCUUUUACUAGUUUUAUUUGUAAAACUUUUAGGUUUUU
rnacentral:lncRNA from 1 species